UUUUAUAAUGAAAAGGAUCUUCCUGGUCUUCAUCUGGUGAACGUUGGAGCAUAUCUUGACUGAUAUUGUAGCCGUUUGAAGAUAUUCUCCUCAUGCUGAAUUCCUCUUGAAGUCCGAUUAUGAUGCUGGACUAAGUCUUCUUUGCGUGUUGAUCAAAUAAGACAUGUGUUGAAUCUCUUUUGUACCGUUAGAGAUAUUUCCCUUGUGAUAAAUAUCAAGUUACC